GACGAACGCUGGCGGCGUGCUUAACACAUGCAAGUCGAACGAAGUGGCGAACGGGUGAGUAAUACGUGGGUAACCUGCCCUCCUUUUUGGGAUAAGCCUUGGAAACGGGGUCUAAUACCGAAUAAAGGGGGAUGGGCUCGCGGCUUAUCAGCUUGUUGGUGGGGUGAUGGCCUACCAAGGCGGUGACGGGUAGCCGGCCUGGGAGGGUGACCGGGAUGAUUGUGAGUGAGGGACGGACCAGAUGCCUAAGGGAGGCGGCAGUGGGGGAUAUAGCAGAAUGGGAGAAAGCCUGAUGCAGGUACGCCGCGUGGGGGAUGAAGGCUGGCGGGUUGUAAACCUCUAUAGCUAUCGAACGGGUAGGUGAAGAAGAAGCGCCGGCUAACUACGUGCCAGCAGCCGCGGUAAUAC
rnacentral:rRNA from 1 species